rnacentral:rRNA from 1 species
UACGAAGGGGGCUAGCGUUGCUCGGAAUUACUGGGCGUAAAGGGCGCGUAGGCGGACAGUUUAGUCAGAGGUGAAAGCCCAGGGCUCAACCUUGGAAUAGCCUUUGAUACUGACUGUCUUGAGUUCGGGAGAGGUGAGUGGAAUGCCGAGUGUAGAGGUGAAAUUCGUAGAUAUUCGGCGGAACACCAGUGGCGAAGGCGACUCACUGGCCCGAUACUGACGCUGAGACGCGAAAGCGUGGGGAGCAAACAGG